AUCUUGAGAGGCCCGAGCAGACAAAGCGACCCCAUUGUUUUGGGUGACGGCAGACGGGGACCCCUUUCCCCUCCCCGCGACCAGGAGCGGGGCGCCCUGGGGGCUCCGGGCCGGGCAGUGGGUGUGGCGAGGGCGAGCCCCGGGCGCCGCGCCGGCCUCUGCGGGGCGUCUGCGGCCCUGGGGACCCGGCCGGCGGGACGUCUGCGGCCGCCGGGCUCUGCCCAUCCAGGGGUCAUCUGCAGCUGCCGGGCUCCUCCCAUCCCGGGGACAUCUGCGACCCCGGAGGACCUGGCAGGCCCUGCAUUCCGCGAGGCCUGGCUCUGGCGACCCUGCCCUCCGCGGCCCCGCACCUUUGAGCGUGGAGCGCUCCACCAGCACCGUGUGGACCUGCGGGUCCGAAAGGAACUUGCGCAUCUGCUCCAGGGCGCUCUUCUCCUCCAGCGCCGCCUCCAGCGCGGCCGGCGCCUCGCCGCCGUCCUCCAGCAGCAGCGGCACCAGCUUGCGCAGGUGCUUCUGCAGCACCGACACGUCCGCCACAUUCUGCACGGCCGACACUUCCAAUCCGGCCGAGCCGUCCUCGCCGCCGCCGCCCCCGGGCUCCGACAUGGUGUCGCGCUCGGGACCUUCCAGGAGCGAUGAGAAGGCGGCCGCGACUCAGCGAGACAGCCAGCAAGAGACAGAAACGGCCGCCGGAAGCCGGACCGUCCGCUAGCCCACCGCAGACUGAGGAGAGCGGGAGCCGGCUCCGCCCUAAAGGCAGCCACUGCCAGGUGGCCCCGCCCCGCCCCGCCGGCCGCAGCCGCCGCAGCCACCCGCGCUCGCUCGCGGCCUUAGCGUCACGGCGCCGCGCGUGCGCGGGGGGCGGGCCCGGCGAUGUCGCCGCGCGCCCUUCUGGGACUUGUAGUCUCGGCGCUGGUCGGGGCCCGCAGCCUCCGCACUGCGAGUCCUAGGAGAUGGGGACUUGGCUCAACGUCCUGGCUCGGCGCCCGGGCUUGGCGAGGAGCAUGUGGAAGAGGGGACAGAUGAAUACCCCAUCUUCCUGCUCUCCAUCAGUCCGCCCUGGUGUGAUGUGCCUAAGCAGUUCCGAGUAAUCUUCCUGGAAAAAAUAAAUAGGCAACUGCGAUGAGUUUGUGCAAGGAUCCUAAUGGUAAUGAAUAAUAAUAACACACCACUGACAGCGAACGCUGAGUGUUCACUGCGUGCUAGGCACCAUGCAGAGGGUUUCCCCUCACAUGUACUUUAGGGGUAGAAAGAGGGACAAAGAGGAAAGUCUAUUAGGUGCAGAUCUGUGAACUCUGAAUAGGCCAUCCACCAUCUGAGACUCAGAAACCUGCAGGGACCUGGCCGAUGGGCAGGCUGCAUGCUGGCUGCACCAUGAGUCAGCACCAGACUGGGAGACGCAGCCACUCAGGGAUCCAAGGGACUCAAACAUCUGCAACCUGGCCCCAGGCCAAGAGAACAAACUGCAGGCUCCGGAUUUGCGGCCCUGUAGGAUAGGCUCAAAAUGAAACAUGUUUGUUAUUUCUAAGUGGAUGGGAACUGAAAGAACCCGAACAAUCAGUGUACAAGGAUUCAUGAAUGGACCAAACAUGCUUGCUUUUUGUUCUUGAAAGAUGUUUGUUGUAUUUAAUAUAUAACGAGAAGAGUGGUCAACGCUGACUGGGUGCUGAGCACUUUAAGUGCAUUACCUGGGUGGCUGGCUGGGCUGUGCCAGGGUUGAAGGGUGUGGGGAGCUUCUUUCAAGGUGCCCCUUCUGCCUCCUGGCACAGGACUCUGGCUCCAGCACACCCCAAGCUGACCCUGGUGGGGGUAGGGCCCCUCACCCAAACCUGGCCUCUCCCGUCUCUUGUUCUGCUGCCUCAGCUUUCUCCUGUCUGUGGUAGAGUCUGCUUGGACAGACUCUGGGCAGGGCAGGGGGCAGGGCAAGCUGGAGAGAGAAUUCGUUCUAGGUUGAUGUGGGAUGAUAGUGGCUGGUAGGGCGCUUGUAUCCUAUUGGAAAUCCAUGAUGAGAUCCCAUUCAUUCCCACCCUUCUCUUAACAAUGUCUCCUUAAGUCCAAGUCUCAAGUCGGGUGCCCAGUUUCAUACCAUCCUUCCUCUCCCUCUCACAACCUUCGGGCAGGACCAACCCCCUCAGAGGAACCCCUGCUGCCCCAGCCCUUUCAGGCUCUGUGCCCAGGAUCUCCCCUCCACUCCCUGGAAAUUCCACAUUUGGCCAGGUGUGGUGGUGCACACCCUUGUUCCCAGCUACUCAAAAGGUUGAGGUGGAGGUCGAGGCUGCAGUGAGCUGUGAUCUCACUACUGCACUCCAGCCUGUGCAAGAGAGUGAGACCCCG
rnacentral:lncRNA from 1 species